UUUUAAACCAACAGAAACUUGAAAUGCCUGAAUAAAAUCUGUCAUUGCAUAUGCACUUUCUUUAAACUCAUCAAUUGCGUUUUGAUGUUUGUACUAUACUUUGGCAAUUUAUAAGCAAAAAAAUACAUCAAGCUUUUACCAUACAAGUAGGAAUAGUCUGUUGAGCUUAAGUGUGUACAUUUUUAGCAGCUUGAUUGCCUGUGUCUUACAUGUAAAGAAGGAGUCUGUGCAUGGCUAUACUUUUAUUUUUCUCAGCUAUUGAUUUGAUUGGCAAUGACACUCCUGAAUGUGGAGCUUCAGUUGGGACUCCUGGUCUCAGCAUAAAACAAUGUACAAUGAAACAGUAGGCCACAUGAUCCAUAUCUACCAGGAUAAAGACUAUA